CAAUGAUUUGUACGUCAUUUUUAAAACACUUCCGUAGUACGGACGAUAUUGAUGAUGAAAUAUCUUAUGAAGAUCAUUUAGAGGUUUAUUUUGAAUAACUGACAAUUCCAGGAAUGAUGGAAUAAAACAUAUGAAGUAGAAGGACUGGAACCUCCAGAAAAAAUACUUCAAGUUACCGACAAGUGAUCUUAGUCAGGCAAAUGAAAACAGUAGCCUAAAGUGUCGGUUUCAACCAGAAAAUAACAGCUAUGAUUUCUCAUGGCUCACACUCUUCUGAAACGACUCAGGAAGAGGCUGAGGAAGGCCAUGUUGUUUGUCUACCUGGGACUACACCUACUGAAAGAAGUUCUGAAGUUCUGAUUGAGUUCUAAAAGUUUUUUGAAGAUUGGAAUUCUUCAUAUUCAGAUCUAAGAUUCUUCGUUGAAAGGAUUUCCCCACUCAGUACUUUGAAUUAAUCAACCCUACUGCCUUCUGGCCUCCAAGGUUUCCGCAGCGACUUAAUUCAGACUACCUCAGAAGAAGAAUUUAACAUUUAUUUUUGUAGAAAACCAGCAAUUUUAAAAUAGCCUGGGAAAACUUAGAUAAAAAGAGAAAAGAGAGACAUUCUUGAUUUUGGUGACUAGAGUUGUAGAUGCUGGAAAGCUUUGUCACUAAAAUUGAUGAACCAGAUGCACGUCACCAGCCAAUCACGCUGACUCUUAAUGCCGGCACCAUGGCCUGGCACCGUCACGUUUUCCAAGGAACCUGCCGGAGCUCCUGCGGAAGCUGCUCCUUGGGCCGAUGGAGGCUCUUAGCUGGUAGGCCCUUCUUUAGUCACCACAGGAUGCCUGCCAUUCAUGAACAGAAAGGAGAGGACAGGCUUUGAAUAAAACACAGGACCUGGAAAAUAUUUGUGAGGCCAUUGGACUUCAGAUUUCAGUGUCAGGUGGUGGUGAAAGUUGAAGUCGUUUCUUCAAGAAGCAAACCUCUGCCACCUGGACUGUGCUCAGACAUUUCAUUCAUUUUGUUAAAUAAACAUUUCCCGGCUUUGGGAGGUGUCCCUCUUGGUGGAACACAAAUGUUCUGAGAAUUGGCCGUUGGCGGUAUCAUGGCGACCCGGAACCCCCCUCCCCAAGAAUAUGAAAGUGAUGACGACUCCUAUGAAGUGUUGGAUUUAACUGAGUAUGCAAGAAGACACCAGUGGUGGAAUCGAGUGUGUGGCCACAGUUCGGGACCUAUGGUAGAAAAAUACUCAGUAGCUACCCAGAUUGUAAUGGGUGGCGUUCCUGGCUGGUGUGCAGGAUUUCUGUUCCAGAAAGUUGGAAAACUUGCAGCAACUGCAGUAGGUGGUGGCUUUCUUCUCCGUCAGAUUGCUAGUCAUAGUGGCUAUGUGCAGACUGACUGGAAGAGAGUUGGAAAAGAUGUAAAUAAAGCAAAAAGACAGAUUAAGAAACGAGCGAACAAAGCAGCACCUGAAAUCAACAAUGUAAUUGAAGAAGCAACAGAAUUUAUCAAGCAGCACAUUGUGAUAUCCGGUGGAUUUGUGGGAGGCUUUUCGCUCGGACUUGCAUCUUAAGGACAUGAAUAUUCUCCCGUAGUGGAUUCAACUACGAGAAGAGAAGUGGCAGCAAUAAGGCAGUCUCUCAACAGUCAUGCUGCCAGAGUCUCCAGGGCAAGGAGAAACAACUAGCUGGACAGUACUCAAUUCACAACUUAGCAUUUUGCCAUCUGAAGCUUGGCAAACUAGUAUCUGCUGUAAAAUAACCUGUAUGGUGUGUGAACCAUAGUAUUCCUGAGCAAAACAUGGCUUUCACUGCUUUGUAAAAAUUUGCAUCUGUUUAGAAACUAGCCUAUAAAAUAUCACCAUUGGAUGUAGAUAUGGAGAGAAAAGAAAUAUGUUGGGUUUAUUGCUUAGUGAAAUCUUUUCUUUUUAUUUAAAU